ACAGGGGCCUGCUCAUUCCCGGCAUGCUGUGCGUCUCCUCUGGAAGGACUGGGCGUGCCCGGCGUGCUGUGCGUCCCCUCCGGAAGGACUGGGCGUGCCCGGCGUGCUGUGCGUCUCCUCCGGAAGGACUGGGCGUGCCCGGCGUGCUGUGCGUCCCCUCCGGAAGGACUGGGCGUGCCCGGCGUGCUGUGCGUCUCCUCUGGAAGGACUGGGCGUGCCCGGCGUGCUGUGCGUCCCCUCCGGAAGGACUGGGCAUGCAGUCUGUAGAGUCCGUCCACACGAAGAAGACUCCCAUCCACACCUUCCAGGUGGACCACCUGCUACAUGGAGUUAGAAGCCAGGAAUCACGUGACUGCCCGCCCAAUCGUGACCCAUCACAGGCUCUGUGCACAAGGCACAGACAUUUAAAGUCAUUUUUAUUGAGGCGUGAUUUGGGGUGUCCUGAUAAGAAGAGGAGCUGAGGACACAGACAUGUCCAGCGGGACCUUGGGAGGACAUAGAGGGAAGACGCCUUCUGCAAACCACUGAGAGAGGCCUCGAGGAACCAGCCCUGGCCGACACCUUGAUAUGGGACUUCCAGCCUCCAGGACGGUAAAACACUUAGUCCAAACAGAUGCAGGGACCUGCCAAUGGGAUAUAAACGUAACAUCCAUGCUUGAGAAUGGAUUCUUUCACUCUCAUCCCUUUGCACAGAAGACUCCAGGCAGAAAAAUUAUACAGACCACAUUUAUUCUACUUCUUCCAUUGUUCCAAAAGUUGAUACUUGGGAUCCAUUGAGGGCGAGGUUCAGCAAUUACAAUAGUGACAUCAGAGAUCGCUGAUAACAGAUCAUCAUCACAGAUGUGAUAACAAGAAAAAAAUGAGAUAUUUUUAUCAUUGAUGUGAUGGCAAAUAUUGAGUAUCAACUUGAUUGAAUUGAAGGAUGCAAGGUAUUAUUCCUGGGUGUGUCUGUGAGGGUGUUGCCAAAGGAGGUUAACAUUUGAGUUGGUGAACUGGGAAAGGCAGACCCACCCUCAGUCUGGGUGGGCACCAUCUAAUCAGCUGCCAGCAUGGCUAGGAUAAAAGCAGGCAGAGGAAGGUGGACGGACUAGACUUGUUAAGUCUUCUGGCCUCCAUCUUUCUCCUGUGCUGGAUGCUUCCUGCCCUCGAACAUUGGACUCCAAGUUCUUCAGCUUCUGGACUCUUGGACCUACACCAGUGGUUUGCAGGGGCUCUCGGGCCUUUGACCACAGACUGAAGGCUGCACUGUCGGCUUCCCUACUUCUGAGAUUUUGGAACUUGGACUGGCUUCCUUGCUCCUCAGCUUGCAGAAGGCCUAUUGUGGGCCUUCACCUUGUGAUCAUAUGAGUCAAUUCUCCUUAAUAAACUCCGUUUCAUAUAUACAUCUAUCCGAUCAGUCCUGUCCCUCUAGGGAACCCUGACUAAUACAAUUGUCAAAAUGUGACACAGAGGCACAAAGUGAGCACCUGCUGUAGGAAAAAUGGUGCUGAUAGACUUGACUCAGGGUUGCCACAAAAUUCAGUUUGUAAAAAACACAGUAUCUGCAUAAUGCAAUAAAAGAAGAUAGGCAUGCCAUAUUCUUCAUGAUUUUCAUGG
rnacentral:lncRNA from 1 species